UACGUAGGCAGCAAGCGUUGUUCGGAGUUACUGGGCGUAAAGGGUGCGUAGGCGGCUUCUUAAGUCUGGUGUGAAAUCUCCCGGCUCAACUGGGAGGGUGCGCCGGAUACUGAGGGGCUAGAGUGUGGGAGAGGAAAGUGGAAUUCCUGGUGUAGCGGUGAAAUGCGUAGAUAUCAGGAGGAACACCGGUGGUGUAAACGGCUUUCUGGACCGCCACUGACGCUGAGACACGAAAGCGUGGGUAGCAAACAGG
rnacentral:rRNA from 1 species